rnacentral:rRNA from 1 species
GAUGAACGCUAGCGGCAGGCUUAACACAUGCAAGUCGAGGGGUAUAUAUCAGUAGCUUGCUACAGAUAUAGAGACCGGCGCACGGGUGCGUAACGCGUAUGCAAUCUACCUUAAUCAGAGGGAUAGCCCAGAGAAAUUUGGAUUAAUACCACAUAGUAUUAUAGAUUGGCAUCAAUCAAUAAUUAAAGAUUUAUCGGAUUAAGAUGAGCAUGCGUCCCAUUAGCUAGUUGGUAUGGUAACGGCAUACCAAGGCGAUGAUGGGUAGGGGUCCUGAGAGGGAGAUCCCCCACACUGGUACUGAGACACGGACCAGACUCCUACGGGAGGCAGCAGUGAGGAAUAUUGGACAAUGGAGGCAACUCUGAUCCAGCCAUGCCGCGUGUAGGAAGACUGCCUUAUGGGUUGUAAACUACUUUUAUACAGGAAGAAACCUACCCUUGCGAGGGUAAUUGACGGUACUGUAAGAAUAAGGAUCGGCUAACUCCGUGCCAGCAGCCGCGGUAAUACGGAGGAUCCAAGCGUUAUCCGGAAUCAUUGGGUUUAAAGGGUUCGUAGGCGGUUAAAUAAGUCAGUGGUGAAAGUUUUCAGCUCAACUGGAAAAAUGCCAUUGAUACUGUUUAGCUUGAAUUAGUGUGAAGUAACUAGAAUAAGUAGUGUAGCGGUGAAAUGCAUAGAUAUUACUUAGAAUACCGAUUGCGAAGGCAGGUUACUAACACUAUAUUGACGCUGAUGGACGAAAGCGUGGGGAGCGAACAGG